rnacentral:rRNA from 1 species
UAGCUAGUUGGUGAGGUAAGGGCUCACCAAGGCGACGAUCCCUAGCUGGUCUGAGAGGAUGAUCAGCCACACUGGAACUGAGACACGGUCCAGACUCCUACGGGAGGCAGCAGUGGGGAAUAUUGCACAAUGGGCGCAAGCCUGAUGCAGCCAUGCCGCGUGUGUGAAGAAGGCCUUCGGGUUGUAAAGCACUUUCAGUCGUGAGGAAGGUGGUGUAGUUAAUAGCGGCAUUAUUUGACGUUAGCGACAGAAGAAGCACCGGCUAACUCCGUGCCAGCAGCCGCGGUAAUACGGAGGGUGCGAGCGUUAAUCGGAAUUACUGGGCGUAAAGCGCAUGCAGGUGGUUUGUUAAGUCAGAUGUGAAAGCCCGGGGCUCAACCUCGGAAUAGCAUUUGAAACUGGCAGACUAGAGUACUGUAGAGGGGGGUAGAAUUUCAGGUGUAGCGGUGAAAUGCGUAGAGAUCUGAAGGAAUACCGGUGGCGAAGGCGGCCCCCUGGACAGAUACUGACACUCAGAUGCGAAAGCGUGGGGAGCAAACAGGAUUAGAUACCCUGGUAGUCCACGCCGUAAACGAUGUCUACUUGGAGGUUGUGGCCUUGAGCCGUGGCUUUCGGAGCUAACGCGUUAAGUAGACCGCCUGGGGAGUACGGUCGCAAGAUUAAAACUCAAAUGAAUUGACGGGGGCCCGCACAAGCGGUGGAGCAUGUGGUUUAAUUCGAUGCAACGCGAAGAACCUUACCUACUCUUGACAUCCAGAGAACUUUCCAGAGAUGGAUUGGUGCCUUCGGGAACUCU